rnacentral:sRNA from 1 species
GCUGGGUGUGGUGGCUCAUGCCUGUAAUCCUAGCAGUUUGGGAGUCUGAGGCAGGAGGAUCACAAGUUCAAAGCAAGGUGCUAAGCAACUCAGUGAGACCCUGUCUCUA